rnacentral:rRNA from 1 species
UACGGGGGGAGCAAGCGUUGUUCGGAUUUACUGGGCGUAAAGGGCGCGUAGGCGGCCACCGCAAGUCGACUGUGAAAUCUCCGGGCUUAACCCGGAAAGGUCAGCCGAUACUGCGGGGCUAGAGUGCAGAAGGGGCAACUGGAAUUCUCGGUGUAGCGGUGAAAUGCGUAGAUAUCGAGAGGAACACCUGCGGCGAAGGCGGCCAUCUGGACCAUUUCUGACGCUGAGGCGCGAAAGCGUGGGGAGCAAACAGG